rnacentral:tRNA from 1 species
GGAGAGGUGGCCGAGUGGUUGAAGGCGCUAGUCUCGAAAACUAGUAUGCCCGCAAGGGUAUCGAGGGUUCGAAUCCCUCCCUCUCCG